rnacentral:rRNA from 1 species
GACGGAGGAUGCGAGCGUUAUCCGGAAUGAUUGGGCGUAAAGGGUCCGCAGGUGGCCCGGUCAGUCCGCUGUCAAAACCUGGGGCUCAACCCUGGAGAGGCGGCGGAGACCACCGGGCUUGAGUCCGGUAGGGGCAGAGGGAAUUCCCGGUGGAGCGGUGAAAUGCGUAGAGAUCGGCAGGAAGACCAAGGGGGAAGCCAGGCACCUGGGCCCGUACUGACACUCAUGGACGACCGCGUGGGGAGCGAACCGG